rnacentral:rRNA from 1 species
UACGUAGGGGGCAAGCGUUGUCCGGAUUUAUUGGGCGUAAAGAGCUCGUAGGUGGUUCGGUAAGUCGGAUGUGAAAUCUCCAGGCUCAACCUGGAGGGGUCAUUCGAUACUGCCGUGACUAGAGGUCGGUAGGGGUGACUGGAAUUCCUGGUGUAGCGGUGGAAUGCGCAGAUAUCAGGAGGAACACCGAUGGCGAAGGCAGGUCACUGGCCCGGUACUGACGCUGAGGUGCGAAAGCGUGGGGAGCAAACAGG